GUUUUCAAGUCAAAACGUCAAUUUUUUUACUCAAAAAUGCAAAUUAUGCGGGUAUUGCAAUUUUAAUAAUUUUUCUAUUCACAAAAAAUCAACUUUAAAUGACUGAAAAUAAUUUUCAACCGUUUUUGUGAAAAAAUUAUUUUGAUGGACAUGAUUGAAAAUAAUCAUAUAAUGAAUUCAAAAUGGCCGCGCGUUGAUGCUUGGAAAAUAUAAAAAGUAACAGGCAACACCUUCCACCACCAUUGCGUGAAAACAGGAUAAACGGGAAGGGUGGAAAUAAAGGAGUAGGCUGUCGCCCGUGGUAACCAAAGGGGUAAAAUCUACCCCUUUCGCAUUUUGCGCAGUAGCAGAGUGGGAAACCCGAGAAAAUGAGAUGAAAGCAGAAAAAACGAAAAAAAGAUCCAGAUUCUAGAUGGAAAACACGCAGCACUGAUGAGUGAAAGGAUUGAAAGAGGAAAACAACAUCCAAGGGCGAAACAGCACGAAAAACAGGAAAAAAAGGGGUGCGAGAUGAAAUGCGAGGGAAAUGAAAGGUAACGAUGGUAACGGCGCCGACGCCGCGUCGGCUCACCCGAGGAGUCACGCACAAACGAAUGAAAAGCGCUGAGGAAAGGUUCCACGGAAAUUCUCCAACAAAUAAUUUAAUUAAAUCAGGUCAUUAUGAAAAGAAGCGAUAUUUUUCUAUGCUGCAAUACGUGCGUGAUCGAUUUGUUAUUCAUAAGUAUCCGAAGUAAUAAUAUAUGCAACACACAAUACACAAAAGCAAAUUAGACGCGUUUAUAACCUCACAAUUGUUAUAAUAACCUCAAAAGUUAGUAAUAACACUAAUUUUACUCAA